AUGAAAGUUCGUACACUGGACAAGGAGUAAGGCAUAAUCUACCAAGGGAGGCAGAAGAAAUAACACAGAAAAUUUGAGGAAGCUUUUGGGAAGUUCACUCAGGUGAGUGAGUGGAAGCCAGACAGAGUGAGGCAGCAAAAUGACCUUGUAGGAAAAAGACAUUUAGCCACAGUAGAUGCAAGAGACAGCAGAACCACUCUGUGAGGACAAUUCACUGAAAGAUGCAUUUGAGGAAGACAGGGAACUCAUUCUUUGAAAACAAAGACUGGAGGAAUAGGAUGAGGAUGGAUAGGGUGAGGAAGGAGGAGAGGAUGAGGAGAUGAGACAGAACUGGGACCAUGAAAGUGCUCCACUGAGGGACUGAAGCCUGCUAAGAGGGGAAGCUGGAGGGAGUGCUUUGUGCUUUCUGGAAGAUCACUGCUGAGCCAGGAUUCAGUUACAGAGCAUCUUCUGAAGGUAAAGGUCUAGUUCUAUUAACAGUGAACGAGCACAAAUGAUAAGCCUGGAGAUACGCUGCUGCGUUCUGAUUCUGCUUUGGAGCAUACUGCAAAGACGUUUAUGUAAAGAUCGUGAACAGAAGCUUACUAACCAUUUUGUAAGGAAAACUAGAAGAGACUGCAUUUCUUAUCCAAAUGAUUCCACUGUUAUUAGACAGAUGCUCUUACUUGCAGGGGCAAGAAUGACCCUCAGCACAAGGUUCAGGUGAAUUAGACUGGUCUUCAACCGAGCAAUGCAAUGCAGGCUAAGACAGAGUAGUAGGAAUGCUGUUAGGCUGCUCAUUGGUGUUGGUUAGCAUGCACUGCCCUCAUCGUCUGUGUUACCAACAGCUAUUUAUCUGAUGGAACAGUGUUGACAGAACUUGGACUUGUGCCAAACCUCCUGAUGAGAAACAAGGUGGAACAGGCUGGCUGGAGGGAACGUUUCCUUUUUAGGAAGCAGCAGCAAGAAGAUACAUGGAAACAAGGUUGGAACACUAUCACUGCUGCAGAUACCAGAAACAUUUCUAAGU
rnacentral:lncRNA from 1 species